rnacentral:lncRNA from 1 species
CUUACAAGCCGGUUUUGUAAGGAUGAGUUAGGCCCCAAAUUUCAACAAUUAUCAACACCGAUGUUAAAUAUCUACAAGGUAUUCCUAUGAUUGUGGAUCAUGACCCAAGCGGCUGCAGCACGGAUUGACAGAUUGAAAGGGGAAUCUAAUGACAAAGUACGUAAAUUGACAGAUUGGCAUAUCCCCCAAGAAAUUGAGGGAGUGAAAUGGAAAAAUUAAACUGUAUCGAUUCUUCUCGGCCAUUAUUAAUUAAUUAUCAACACCGAUGUUAAAUAUCUACAAGGUAUGUGGAUCACGACCCAAGCGGCUGCAUCACAGAUUGAAAGGGGAAUCUAAUGACAAAAUUCGUAAAUUGACAGAUUGUCAUAUCCCCCGAGAAAUUGAGAGAAAUUAAACUGUAUCAAUUCUUCUCUGCCAUUAUUAAUUAUCACCACCGAUGUUAAAUAUCUACAAGGUAUUCCUAUGAUCGUAGAUCAUGACCUAAGCAGCUGCAUCACGGAUUGACAGAUUGAAAGGAGAAUCUAAUGACAAAAUACGUAUCUACUUCACGUAAGGUGAAAAAACAAGCAAAAUUCAUCAUGAUAACUUUUUUCCUUUUCAGAUUUAUCGCAGGGAUAAAACUACUUUAGUUGGCAGGUCUUACCUUAGACCUGGAUCACUUGUACAAGGUGUGAAAAACCAGCCCUGAGUAC